GUAUUUUUCGUUUUUAGUGGAGUCUCCCUGGAUUUGGUAUUAGGAUAAUUCUGGCUUCAUAGAAUGAAUUUGGAAGUUUUCCUCCCUUUUCUGUUUUUUGGAAUUGUUUGAGAAGAAUAGGUAUUAACUCUUCUUUAAAUGUUUGGUAGAAUUCUCCUAUGGAGCCAUCUGGCCUUGUACUUUGGUUUGUUGGGAAUUUUUUGAUUACUGAUUCAAUGUCUUUGCUGAUUAUCAGCCUGUUAAAGUUUAUAUUUCUUCCUGUUUCAGUUUUAGUAGUUUAUAUGCUUCUAGGAAUUUAUCCAUUUCAUCCAGGUUGUCCAAUCUGGUGGCAUAUAGUUUUUCCAGUAUAUUCUCUUAUAAUUGUUUGUAUUUCUCUGGUGUCAUGAUCUC